rnacentral:snoRNA from 13 species
ACUGGAAGCUGCCGGAAACAACCAUGUGGACAAAUGAAAUGUCUUUUGUCUGCAUUCUGCAGCCUUCCUAUAAAAAUUGGAGGUCUCUGUCUGGCUUAAAGCAGCUGGCUAAGCCUGAUCGUUCCCCUCCAUACAAU